GAUCUGUCUGUCUUCUGUAUAUACCCUGUAGAUCCGAAUUUGUGUAAGGAAUUUUGUGGUCACAAAUUCGUAUCUAGGGGAAUAUGUAGUUGACAUAAACACUCCGCUC
ensembl:miRNA